CGGAGGGUGCAAGCGUUAAUCGGAAUAACUGGGCGUAAAGGGCAUGCAGGCGGUUCAUCAAGUAGGAUGUGAAAUCCCCGGGCUCAACCUGGGAACAGCAUACUAAACUGGUGGACUAGAGUAUUGCAGGGGGAGACGGAAUUCCAGGUGUAGCGGUGGAAUGCGUAGAUAUCUGGAAGAACACCAAAGGCGAAGGCAGUCUCCUGGGCAAAUACUGACGCUCAUAUGCGAAAGCGUGGGUAGCAAACAGGAUU
rnacentral:rRNA from 1 species